rnacentral:rRNA from 1 species
AUUGAACGCUGGCGACAGGCCUAACACAUGCAAGUAGAGCGGAGCGGCGGCCGGGUGAGUAAUGCCUAGGAAUCUGCCUGGUAGUGGGGGAUACCGUCAGGGAACGGGCGCUAAUACCGUAUACUAUCAGAUAACCCUCGGUCGGAUUAGCUAGUUGGUGGGGUAGAGGCCUACCAAGGCGACGAUCCGUAACUUGUCUGAGAGGAUGAUCAGUCACAAUGGAACUUAGACACGGUCCAGAAUCCUACGGGAGGCAGCAGCGGGGAAUAUUGGACAAUGGGCGAAAGCCUGAUGCAGCCAUGCCGCGUGUGUGAAGAAGGUCUUCGGAUUGUAAAGCACUGUAAUUUGGGAGGCGUUACCAACAGAAUAAGCACCGGCUAACUUCGUGCCAGCAGCCGCGGUAAUAC